UACGGGGGGGGCAAGCGUUGUUCGGAAUUACUGGGCGUAAAGGGUUCGUAGGUGGCCUACUAAGUCAGACGUGAAAUCCCUCAGCUCAACUGGGGAACUGCGUCUGAGACUGGAAGGCUUGAGUGCAGGAGAGGAACGCGGAAUUCCAGGUGUAGCGGUGAAAUGCGUAGAUAUCGGGAGGAACACCAGUGGCGAAGGCGACUACCUGGCCUGUUCUUGACGCUGAGGCGCGAAAGCUAGGGGAGCAAACGGG
rnacentral:rRNA from 1 species